CGGGAGGCAGCAGUAGGGAAUCUUCCACAAUGGGCGCAAGCCUGAUGGAGCAACGCCGCGUGAGUGAUGAAGGCCUUUGGGUUGUAAAACUCUGUCUUCUGUGACGAACAAGCAUGUGAGUGGAAAGCUCAUGCCCUGACGGUAACAGAGGAGGAAGCCACGGCUAAUUACGUGCCAGCAGCCGCGGUAAUACGUAGGUGGCAAGCGUUGUCCGGAAUCACUGGGCGUAAAGCGCGCGCAGGCGGCGAUCUACGUCUGGGGUGAAAGCCCGGAGCUCAACUCCGGGACUGCCUUGGAUACGGGAUCGCUUGAGGAUUGGAGAGGCAAGGGGAAUUCCACGUGUAGCGGUGAAAUGCGUAGAUAUGUGGAGGAACACCUGUGGCGAAGGCGCCUUGCUGGCCAAUUUCUGACGCUGAGGCGCGAAAGCGUGGGGAGCAAACAGGAUUAGAUACCCUGGUAGUCCACGCCGUAAACGAUGAGUGCUAGGUGUUGGGGGGUACCACCUCCAGUGCCGAAGCUAACGCAUUAAGCACUCCGCUGGGAGUAC
rnacentral:rRNA from 1 species